UACGGAGGGGGCCAGCGUUGUUCGGAAUUAUUGGGCGUAAAGGGCGCGUAGGCGGCUGUGCAAGUCGGAGGUGAAAUCCCUCGGCUCAACCGGGGAACUGCCUCCGAUACUGCACGGCUUGAGUACCGGAGAGGGUAGCGGAAUUCCCAAUGUAGCGGUGAAAUGCGUAGAUAUUGGGAGGAACAUCAGUGGCGAAGGCGGCUACCUGGACGGUAACUGACGCUGAGGCGCGAAAGCUAGGGGAGCAAACAGG
rnacentral:rRNA from 1 species